GACGAACGCUGGCGGCGUGCUUAACACAUGCAAGUCGAACGAAGUGGCGAACGGGUGAGUAACGCGUAAUCAACCUGCACUUCAGAGGGGGACAACAGUUGGAAACGACUGCUAAUACCGCAUACUGAAGGUGGGGAUUACGUCGGAUUAGCUAGUUGGAGGGGGAACGGCACACCAAGGCGAUGAUCAGUAGCCGGUCUGAGAAGAUGAACCGCCACAACGGGACUGAGACACGGCCCAGACUCCUACGGGGAGCAGCAAUGGGGAAUCUUCCGCAAUGGACGAAAGUCUGACGGAGCAACGCCGCGUGAGUGAUGACGGCCUUCGGGGUGUAAAGCUCUGUUAAGCGGGACGCGGUACCGGAAGAGAAAGCCACGGCUAACUACGUGCCAGCCGCCGCGGUAAUAC
rnacentral:rRNA from 1 species